UACGUAGGGGGCUAGCGUUGUCCGGAAUCAUUGGGCGUAAAGCGCGUGUAGGCGGUUCGGUAAGUCCGCUGUGAAAGUCGGGGGCUCAACCCUCGAAAGCCGGUGGAUACUGUCGGGCUAGAGUCCGGAAGAGGAGAAUGGAAUUCCUGGUGUAGCGGUGAAAUGCGCAGAUAUCAGGAAGAACACCCGUGGCGAAGGCGGUUCUCUAGUACGGUACUGACGCUGAGACGCGAAAGCGUGGGGAGCGAACAGG
rnacentral:rRNA from 1 species